rnacentral:rRNA from 1 species
GACGAACCGUGCGAACGUUAUUCGGAUUCACUGGGCUUAAAGGGCGCGUAGGCGGGCAUGCAAGUCAGGGGUGAAAUCUUUCGGCUUAACCGGAAAAGUGCCUCUGAUACUGCGUGCCUCGAGGGAGGUAGGGGCGUGUGGAACUUCCGGUGGAGCGGUGAAAUGCGUAGAUAUCGGAAGGAACGCCGGUGGCGAAAGCGACGCGCUGGACCUCUUCUGACGCUGAGGCGCGAAAGCCAGGGGAGCAAACGG